rnacentral:tRNA from 1 species
UGGGGCAUUAGCUCAGCUGGGAGAGUGUCACACUGGCAGUGUGAAGGUCAGCGGUUCGAACCCGCUAUGCUCCAU